rnacentral:rRNA from 1 species
UGGGGAAUUUUCCGCAAUGGGCGAAAGCCUGACGGAGCAAUACCGCGUGCGGGAGGAAGGCCUUUGGGUCGUAAACCGCUUUUAACAGGGAAGAAGAUCUGACGGUACCUGUUGAAUAAGCCUCGGCUAACUCCGUGCCAGCAGCCGCGGUAAGACGGAGGGGGCAAGCGUUAUCCGGAAUUAUUGGGCGUAAAGCGUCCGCAGGUGGCCUAUUAAGUCUGUUGUUAAAGCCCAGGGCUCAACUCUGGAUCAGCAAUGGAAACUGAAAGGCUAGAGUACGGUAGGGGUAGAGGGAAUUCCCAGUGUAGCGGUGAAAUGCGUAGAUAUUGGGAAGAACACCAGUGGCGAAGGCGCUCUGCUGGGCCGUAACUGACACUCAUGGACGAAAGCUA